CCUCGGAUCAGGUAGGAAUACCCGCUGAACUUAAGCAUAUCAAUAAGCGGA
rnacentral:rRNA from 1 species